UACGUAGGGGCAAGCGUUGUUCGGAAUUACUGGCGUAAAGGGCGCGUAGGCGGCACAGCAAGUCGGGAGUGAAAGCCCGGGGCUCAACCCCGGAAUGGCUUUCGAAACUGCUGAGCUAGAGUACAGAAGGGGCAACCGGAAUUCCCAGUGUAGCGGUGAAAUGCGUAGAUAUUGGGAAGAACACCUGAGGCGAAGGCGGGUUGCUGGGCUGAUACUGACGCUGAGGCGCGAAAGCCAGGGGAGCAAAACGGG
rnacentral:rRNA from 1 species